GAGGUUAAAGGGCAGGCUGAGUGAAGUGGUGGUGUGGGACAGAGGUUAAAGGGCAGGCUGAGUGAAGUGGUGGUUCAUUGUUUGUGUUAGCGUGUACACUCAGUUUGUGGUCUGCUGCACCUUUAGGUGUUUUCUGUUCAGUUCUGCAUAGAAGAACAUUAAAUGGAUGUUUCCCUUCAACUCUGCCUGUGUCCUGCCUCCUCGACUGGGACAGUCACACUUUUUCACUGUCACACAGACUAAAGGAAUGAACACCCAAACCGAAGUCAGAAUUAAGUAUAUUCUCCAGUAAGACCCUUCAAAGACUACAGGGAACAUGAAUGUGAUAUUUCCACACACUCUCCCUGUAGGAUGCAGUCCUACACAGAAGUUCUAUGUGACCUAUGCUGAGAUUGACUUCAGAAAGAUGGUCAAAACCCAGAAAAUCAACACAGCCGCCAGAGUCAGAAUAAGUCAAUUCUCCAAGAAAGACAGUCACAGUCCACAGUGACUUUAUGAUCGUCUUCACUCGUGCUGCUGCUUGAAGGGAUGCUGCUGCUUUUGAUGCCUUGAACAUAACUGGUUCAUCUGAAGCCAGCUCCCGUUAGGAAAUUGGUGCUUAGCUAGGUUCAAAUUUUCAUUGCAAUGGAACAUUGUUACAAAAUAAUGCAUGUUUCACAGAAAGAUGUUUGUCUGGAUUUGACAUCUUCAGCGUAUAAUGUUCUGUGGAAGGGAGUGUCAUGGAAAUAAAGUACAUUCUAGUGAAUCCCAAACAAGCCCCACUGUCCUAUGCACGUUAUUUCAGUGCCAUCCGCAGCACUUUGUCGUUAAUAUAGCUCUGAGUGGUGUCUACGUGUUCAUUUGGGAUUGUACCUGUGUUGGCAUGAAAAUUGUAGAGGGGAUCUGGAAUUGAACUUUGGUUGUCCAACAGGGGAGAGAUUUAAUCAAAACACUGAAAGCAAACCUGGUGACUGUUUUUUGCAGAGCAUUCACAUGUUCGUUGUGCAUAACUGUCAAUGUGAUAAUGUCAUUGUCAAUAACAAUCAGUGCAAUCACCACACCUGAAUGUGUUACCAAAUUGUGUAGCUUUUCCAA